rnacentral:lncRNA from 1 species
AGGCCCUAAUCAUGUCAGUCUCGGUCCUAAAGAACUGCAGAGAGGAAUGUAGAUGAAGUUGGCAGCAAUAAGAAAUCGCUACUACAACCUACUAGCACUGUUGAGUCAACUUGUCCCCUAACUGUCUAAAUACUUAUGCCUAGCAUCAAAUCAAAAUAAACCAAUAUCACACCUAACAAAAUAGUAGAGUAUACUGCAUACCUUAAGCAAACCAUGGGAUUCUUCAUCCAUAGAGUUGGUAUCUUCCAUGAUCUCAAUAUAUGCUCCCAAGCUCUACCUGAAUCGUCAUAUAUGCUUCUGAAUUAAACUGAAGGAACAACAAUAAAUUACAAAUACACAAACACCAUAGUAGUGUGAUCUGUUGGAUAAAGUAGUACAUACGAAUACGUACCAUGGAGACCCAAGUGCACAUGCAUGUGCAGGUAUAAGCAUGCUAACACAUCAAUGACUUGAGUGAGCGGGCUUUAACAGGCUUCCUCCACCUCUUCUUAAAUGGGCUCUUCUUCUUGAUGUUGCCGUUGCCAACAACCCGGGGUUCNGGGCGGGGGCGGGGGCGGGAGGUCGGAUUGGGGCGGGGUGGGGCCGGAGUAGGCGGAGCCGAGCAGGCGGGAGGCGGACCUGCGGAUCCUCAUGGCGAGGCGGCGGGCGGCGCGGGGAGGGAUCUGGGGCGCUGGCUAGGGUUUGGUUUGGGAUUUGGGCUGGUGCGGCAGCACGGGAUGGAUCGGAGCGGACUGCGGAGGAGGUCGAGACGAAGCUGUGGAGUGUGUGUGUGGGUCGGGUGGUCUGUUUAUAGGAGCAUUUGGUUGGGCCGACCUAGCUAG